UUAAGCCAUGCAAGUCGAGAGGUGUAAGACCUCGGCAUACUGCUCAGUAACACGUGGUUAACCUGCCCUAAGGUGGAGAAUACUCCCGGGAAACUGGGGCUAAUGCUCCAUAGUGGAUAUGUCCUGGAAUGGUAUAUCCUCGAAAGAUCCGUCGCCUUAGGAUGGGACUGCGUCCGAUUAGGUUGUUGGCGGGGUAACGGCCCACCAAGCCAUUGAUCGGUACGGGUUGUGGGAGCAAGAUCCCGGAGAUGGAUUCUGAGACAUGAAUCCAGGCCCUACGGGGCGCAGCAGGCGCGCAAACUUUACAAUGCGAGCAAUCGUGAUAAGGAAACCCUGAGUGCCUGUCGAUGCAGGCUGUUCAUAUAUCUAAAUCAUAUGUGAAGAAAGGGCAGGGCAAGACCGGUGCCAGCCGCCGCGGUAAUACCGGCUGCUCGAGUGAUGGCCACUAUUACUGGGUUUAAAGCGUCCGUAGCUUGACUGUUAGGUCUCUUGGGAAAUCUUCACGCUCAACGUGAAGGCGUCUAAGAGAUACCGGCAGUCUUGGAACUGGGAGAGGUAAACCGUACUUCGGGGGUAGGAGUGAAAUCUUGUAAUCCUCGAGGGACGACCUAUGGCGAAGGCAGUUUACCAGAACAGCUUCGACAGUGAGGGACGAAAGCUGGGGGAGCAAACGGGAUUAGAUACCCCGGUAGUCCCAGCC
rnacentral:rRNA from 1 species